AGUGAACGCUGGCGGUAGGCCUAACACAUGCAAGUCGAACGAGUGGCGGACGGGUGAGGAAUACCUCGGAAUCUACACGGUCGAGGGGGAUAACGAAGGGAAACUGAAGCUAAUACCGCAUACGAUUGAAUGUGCCGAGGUCGGAUUAGCUAGUUGGUGGGGUAAAGGCUCACCAAGGCGACGAUCCGUAUCUGGUCUGAGAGGAUGAGCAUCCACACUGGAACUGGGACACGGUCCAGCCUCCUACGUGAGGCAGCAGUGGGGAAUAUUGGACAAUGGGCGCAAGCCUGAUCCAGCCAUGCCGCGUGGGUGAAGAAGGCCUUCGGGUUGUAAAGCCCUUUUGUUGAGAAAGCGGUACCCAAAGAAUAAGCACCGGCUAACUUCGUGCCAGCCGCCGCGGUAAUAC
rnacentral:rRNA from 1 species